UCUUUUCUUCUGUUGACAUCUUUGUUCUUUUCCAGGAGCAUUGGGUCCAUAUUGCUGCUGGCUCAGGGCUUCAAGAUUUGGCUCAGGCUCUCUCAGCACAAGCCCCAUAUCCUUCCUAGGACCUAGGGAGGUGAGGCCCUAGGUAUGAGGUCCAGAGCAUUGUCAGGGCAGGGCAUACCCCA